GCUACACGCUCCAGGCUGGGGCCCGGCCCUCCCGGCCUUAGUUUCUUCCCUUCCCUCAGUGGCCUGGACCAGGGCGGAGGGGUGGAAACGACCUACCCCAGAGACGGAGGGAAGACUAGGAUGAUACCUGGACGGCAGAGACAGCAGUGAUCCAGUUCCAGUCCCACUUCCUCAACUGCCGGCUGGUGGUUUCCACCUGCAUGUGCUCAUCUCUUUACUCAUGCCCUAAGGACUCAACACCAGUGCCUGAUAGGAUCUACUGAGGAUGCUGAAACUCACUUGAUAGAUGUUCAAGCUCCCCACGCCUUCUCCAGCUGGUGGUCAGUAUUCUUAGGUCCAGCAUACCACCCACCAAGCAUCCUUGCCCGACUGACUAAGUGUUUUGUACCUGGACAAUUCAAAAGGGAAUGCGGAGGUUGCUCUAGCCUGUAUCUCCUCCUCUGGGCAGACCCAUAUCUCUGGGAUUCCACCAGCUCUUCUGACUAUGCCUCCUGUGUUCCCCACUCCCCGCUGUCAGGAAGCCCUUCCUUUUGCCCACUUUACAUCACUCACAUUGACGUUUGACCUCCACAUGGAAUUCCAAUGUGCCCCCGUUUUGUGACCAGGACUAGGCCCCCUUGACAUCUACGAGCUCAUGUGUACAUGGGGUAACUCUGAUAAAGCCAGCAUUAUUAUGCUUCUGCUGAAUACUCAUUUAUUAUUGCAGUGCCUCCACCAGAACAGAGGAAAGCAAAGAAAUUUGCACCCUGACCAUCUGGGUUUGUUGCUAAACGCAAAGACAAAAUCAGGAAGUGAAGCCCAUGCUUAGGUACAAUUGAGGCUGUAUAGUUUAGCAGGAUUCCCAGUAAGCCAGUCCUUAUUGCCUUUCAUUCUUCCUAUUCCUUUGUCCUCUUCAAUUUCUCCCCUUUGAGCAUCAAGUCCCUUUUCUCUGCCCUUUGUGCUCUCUCCACUUCGAUCCGCGUCUUCCUUCUUUGUCCCACAGCCAGUCUGCAUUGAUAUUCAUGCCAAAAGAAUGACCCAGUCCGUUCUGUGGUAGCAAUCCGAGACUGGUGACUGGUGCAACUGCUGGAAUAUAUAAACAUGACUCUUUUUCAGGUAGCAUCUGGGAUGCCAGUCUUAGCAGCCUCAUUUAAAAAAUUAUUUAUAUUCACAAAAGUCUAUAAUAGCAUUUUUAUUGUGUACACCUGUGAUUUGGGUGCAUUUUUUUCCCCAUGCCAGCUUCUUAUUAUUGUUCAACACUGACUACAGCCUUAAAUGAUAAUGAAAACAGAAGCACUCUUUCUAAAAGGAAUGACUGCUUUCCCCGUCCUUUAGUAUAUAUGUGCUCCCUGCCUGAAGGGGAUGGUUUAGUGUUUAGACGGCCGCUCCCGACUGCCUCCAAAACCAAGUUCACAUCCUUGCAGCAUUGACUCGGUCUUUUAUUCUUCUACAGAGAAUAAAUUGAAUACUAGGCUAUUUUGUGUGUGGGUGUCUUUCAGAUGAGACCUUAAAACCCAAAAGCUGUCUGUGGCUACUGGAGAUGCUGAAGUUCUUGUCCUGCUGUCCUUGCCCUGGGUUCCAGAACCUGGCCUGGCCACACAUGUCACACACUCACUUUACAUUUUUUUAUGUUUUGUUUUGAGACAGGGUCUCACUCUAUUGCCCAGGCUGGAGUACAGUGGCGCUACCUUGGUCACUGCAGCCUCGACCUCCCAGGCUCAAAUGAUACUUCUGCCUUAGCCUCCAGAGUAGCUGGGACUACAGGCGUGCACCACCAUGCCCGGCUAAAUUUUGUGUUUUCUGUUUUUCUUUUUUUUGAGAUGAAGUCUAGCUCUGUCGCCCAGGCUGGAGUGCGGUGGCACGAUCUCGGCUCACUGCAACCUCCACCUCCUGGGUUUAAGCGAUUCUCCUGCCUCAGCCUCCUGAGUAGCUGGGAUUACAGGCGUGCACCACCAUGCCCAGCUGAUUUUUGUAUUUUUAGUAGAGAUGGGGUUUUACUGUGUUGGCCAGGCUGGUCUCAAACUCCUGACCUCGUGAUCUGCCGGCCUCAGCCUCCCAAAGUGCUGGGAUUACAAGCGUGAGCCACUGCGCCCGGCUAAUUUUGUGUUUUUUCUAGAGACAGGGUUUCACCAUGUUACCCAGGCUGGUCUCAAACUCGUGGGCUCAAGCAAUCCACCCGCCUCAGCCUCCCAAAGUGCUGGGAUUACAGGUGUGCACCACUGUGCCUAGCCCACACACUCACUUUUGAAGAGAGCUGUUUAUUUGGGCCUUUAUUCCCUCAGUUCCUGUGGUUUCUUUGCUUCUGUGACAUGACCUGCUACUUUCACCCCUUGGUUUUCCAGUGCAUUAAAAAAUCAAGCAACAAAACAAUUUCCCUUAGAGUCAAAGUGCUACAAAUAUAAGCUUGUUAUCUGUAUUCCAUUAUGAUGAAUAACUCACCAACCCUCAUGCCAUGUGUAUGAUUGACUUGCAAUUAUGUGUUGUAUUUUACAGCACCUCCGAAUGGUAUUCUCCCUUGGCUGUUCCUCAAGCCAAGCCUGGAACCCCUGGGUCAAAUGAGAAUGGGUGGAUUUUAUAGACUCCAAGGAUUUUAUUUUCCCCGAGCCUAGAUAUUAGGUCUGUAAUUAGCGAUGCAAUAAUAAUACCUUUUACUUGCCAUUUUAUGCCUUUUCAAAAAUGUGUUUCAUGUUUUUGUGAUUAAUUUUCACAAAAAUUUCUUUGGCAUAGGCAGGACAGAUAUAAUGGGCUGUCUGAUUUUACAGCUAAGGGACAGUCAAGGCAAGGUUCAAUGACUUGCCCAAGUUCCUUCAGCAAAUCUAAGACAGACCUGGGACUGGAACCGGAUUUUGUAAUUUCAAGGUGGUGGUUUUUCUGUGGCCACUGCGUGUGUAACAAACUCAAGACAAUUGUAGUUACAUUCAAGUUUUCAUCUGAUCCUGUGAUGACCUUACAGGACAGGGUGAGCAGGUAUUAUCAUCCUCAUCUUUCAGAUCAGGAAGGAGAACUCCAGAGAGAUGGGGUUACUAGGGCAAUAUGGUAAUUAAACAAAAGAGGAAGGACUUAAUUCCAAGGCUCCAAGUCUGCAGCUUUUGGUGAUGCUUUGCUGCCUGAUUAAUGCCUGAGACCACCACUCAUUCAGUGGCUUUGGCCCAAAACUUAGACUCAUCCUUGACUCCUUUUUUCCUCUUACUUCAUAUCUGACCCAUCAGCAAAUCUCACAGAUUCUAUCUUUAAAAUAUAUUUCAAAUCAACCAUUUCUUAUCACCUUCGCUGCUAUUAGCCUGCUCUAAUCCUUCAUUCUUUGUCACCUGGAUUGCUGCAGUGGUCUCCUGUAUGGCUGGACUACAAAGAUGGUCCUCAAUGAAGCAGUCCUCAAGGACUGCUUGUACAACAUGGACAUCUCAGCUCACCUGUGACUCAUUUUAGCCCGUAGAAUGUGGAGGAUGUGAUGCUGUGUGUUUCUGACCUAAGUAUUGAGAAGGAUUUUAUACUUCUGAGACCCCUGAGCUACCUGUAUGAAGUCUAGGUACUAGUAUCUCUGCCAGAGAUUCUAAGUGAAGAGACCACAUGAAGAGGAAGAGGCCUCAGACUGCAUGGAGUGAGAGAGUCCCAGCUGAGCCCAACUUUUUACUGCCCCCAUAACUUUUUACUGUCCCCUGGUGGAGCAGAAGAACCACCUAGCUGAGCCCUACUGACCUGUAGAAUAAUAAGAGAUAAUAAAAUGGUGGUUGUUUUAAGACACUUAGUUUUGGGUUAGUUUUUUACAUAGCAAUAGAUAACUAAAACAUCUAAGGGGUCUCCCUAAUUCCACACUUGUCACCAAUCUAUUUUCCAGAAGAUUUAAAAAAAUUGUGGUAAAAUACUCAUAACAUAAAAUUCACCAUCUUAACCUUUUUUCUUUUCUUUUCUUAGAGACAGGGACUUACUGUGUUGUCUAGGCUGGAGCGCAGUGGCUCUCUACAAGUGCAAUUACAGCACACUAUAGCCUCAAACUCCUGGGCUCAAGUGAUGCUCCUGCCUCAACCUCCCAAGUAGCUGGGACUAAAGGUGUGCACCACUGUGCCUGGCUUCACCUUAACCUUUUUUUUGGUUUUGUUUUUUAUUUUUUUUGAAAUGGAGUCUUGCUCUGUGGUCCAGCCUGGAGUGCAGUGGCAUAAUCUUGGCUCACUGCAACCUCACCCUCCCAAAGCUGUAAGCUGGAUUAUAGGCAUGUGGCACCACGCCUGGCUAAUUUUUGUAUUUUUAGUAGAGACAGGGUUUUGCCACGUCUGCCAGGCUGGUCUCGACCUCCUGACCUCAGGUGAUCUGCCCACCUCGGCCUCCCAAAAUGUUGGGAUUACAGACAUGAGCCACUGCACCCAGCCACCUUAACCAUUUUUAAGUAUAGUUCAGUAUUGUUAAGUAUAUUCACAUUAUUGUGCAACCAAUCUCCAGAACACUUUUCAUCUUGCAAAUCUGAAACUCUGUAUCUGUUAAACAAUAACUCCCCAUUUUCCCCUCUCUCCAGGCCCAGCAACCACCAUUCUACUUUCUUUUUCUAUGAACUUAACUCUUAAAUUCCUCACUUAAGUGGAAUUAUACAGUAUUUGUCUUUUUGUGACUGGCUUAUUUCAUUUAGCAUAAUGUCCUCAAGGUUCACCCAUGUGUCAGAAUUUUCUUCCUUUUUGUUUUUCGUUUUUGAGACAGAGUCUCACUCUAUUGCCCAGGCUGGAGUACAGUGGCACGAUCUUGGCUCACUGCAACCUCCGCCUCCCGGGUUCAAGUGAUUCUCAUGCCUCAGCCUCCCA
rnacentral:lncRNA from 1 species